rnacentral:rRNA from 1 species
UCUUCAACGGAGAGUUUGAUCCUGGCUCAGGACGAACGCUGGCGGCGUGCUUAACACAUGCAAGUCGAGCGGUAAGGCCCUUCGGGGUACACGAGCGGCGAACGGGUGAGUAACACGUGGGUGAUCUGCCCUGCACUUCGGGAUAAGCCUGGGAAACUGGGUCUAAUACCGGAUAUGACCUUCGGCUGCAUGGCUGAGGGUGGAAAGGUUUACUGGUGCAGGAUGGGCCCGCGGCCUAUCAGCUUGUUGGUGGGGUAAUGGCCUACCAAGGCGACGACGGGUAGCCGACCUGAGAGGGUGACCGGCCACACUGGGACUGAGACACGGCCCAGACUCCUACGG